UUUCCCACCUGAUGAUGAUUGCUUGUGUUGAAAUCGAAACGUCGUGAUUUGUUUUAUUUUAUACCUACGUGACUUUACCGAAAGAACCAAAGAGUAUAGUGCAUACAAUAUAUAUUUAAUUUACUAACAAAGUUCAUGUCCAGGCUAUGUGGUAGACUGAUAGGUUCAGUGAACCCGUGUCAUUUGACAUCACGUGGGAUGAUCACAGCUCCCCGAAUCCUUCCAGGCACAGCUUGAUGAGCAUGUGAGCAGUGUUUACUUUUGGGAUGCCUUCCUAGCACGAGCGCAAAUCUGGCUUCACCAAGUCCCAACUUAAAUAUUUUUUUACUGUGUGCAUAUAUAAAUAGUUGAUGGUGGAGCCAUCUGCACUGAACUGGCCUCAAACGUCGGUCACCAAUUUGUUCCCAAUGAUUGUCGUAAACAAUUUAUUUCUACGCGAUAAUAGGGCACGUACACAAAAUUAAUUAAAUAUAUUCAACAGUGAAACAUUGUUUUCGCGGAUCCCAAAACAGUGAUGCGCCGAUGCUUGUCGAUUAAAUAAUGGACUGAGUAACGAAGGCUACUUGAAUAUGGAUAGGCACUGCUAAUUCCAAGCGCCUCACACGCCCUACUUGAUGUUAACAUUAUGGAAAGCAAUAAAAGGCACAGUCGGUCAUUUAAGUGGUAUCCAACAUGCUUCAACAUUCAUGAUAGAUACCCCCCAACAAUGGCAAUAUUUAGCAAUGAAGGCUUACAUUAUAAGCCCUUGAAAUUACUGUCCGUCUCACCGGUAAAGCAUUCCAUCAUUUGUAAUGAAAGCAAAUACCUUGGAAGUUCAUAUGCAACCAUUCAACAAUGCUUAAAUACUGGGGCAGUGAAAGGUUAUUUUUUUUUGACGAAUGAGAGAAGGAAAAUGAGUAUUUUCUUACCUUAAUAUUUUACAUUGGUCUAAUUCGAUGGUCAUGUCCAAAACUUAUUUACAGAAUUAAGAGUAGACAAUUGCACUUUGUUUCGUUUAAACUUUUGUUAUGGCUGAUAGUCAUUUUAAAUCCAAACCCCAGUGCAUGAUCGUAGAAUGUCUACAUUCAUUUUAUUCUGCCAGUCGCAUUGCCAGGCUGCUAAAAGAGUUUGUUUUUCUUCAAACAUUUUGCGGGCUGAUUCAUAACCAUAACGGAUUCCGGUUGUGGAGAAAAUUCUGUCAACGGAAAACUAUUUUCGAAAGCCAGUCUGGCUCUGUGAAAUAGGCGGAGUACAAAUCCACUCCACCAACACCAACCAACACCGCGUUCGUGGCGGGGGUGAGGAGAAUUUGCCAAGGGUAUCCAACGACACCAUGGCAAAAAGCCACGUCCAUGGACAGAGCCAAACGUAAGAAGUUUUUUUUUUGGGGGGGGGGGGGGUUAGUUCGCGUAAAUAUAAAUGUGUCGUUAAACCCGCCACCACCCGACACAGCCAAUCGGUAAGGUUCGUCACGUUAACAAAACGUGCCAAUUCGUUACUAGUUCAGCACAGAGUAAACUCACACGUGUCGUGUGGUGGCGGGGUUUAAUGACGCAUUUAUAUCUACCCUAUCUAACCCAGAAAGCCUCGACCUUGGAUAAUAUUGGUCGCGAAUGCUACCAACUGUGUGUUAAACAGCGCUAAACCCAAUCAGGCUCUUUGCCUCUCCGUGUUAGUGGAGUGGCUUUUGGAAAGUGUGCAAAGUGGUCGUAUUCAACAAGUGCCGAAUGUCUCCACACGGCCCUCCUCCCUGUGAUCAUUGAUCUCGCUAAAAUUCGUUCGUGUAUAUACGCGGUAGAAUCCCUUCGUCUGGUCGCAGAGAGGAUGGCAGCUUGCAUGACACGCUUCGUGAAUUGGCUUAACGCAAAUGCUGUGCCAGUAGUUAAUAGCACGUAGUGGCUUUCAGUCUACCCAAUUAUUUUUUUCCUUUUGGUACUUUGGCAAAAUGUGUCGAUACAAUUGAGCAUUUUGUGAUACCUAAUUGUAACCAAAAAUCUACAAUUGAGAAGACUGGUAGUGAAUGGCUUAACAUCAUGGCUGUCGGAAAAGCCAUUUCAUGGCCGUGACCAUGACCACGAAUAAUAAAAAAGAAAAACGUUGUUAUGAUAACACUUGAAAUGUAUGUAAACAAAAAAUGGCGAGUACUGUCACCAACCAGAAAGAAUAACACGCGUGGAACAGUUGCUGUGCUGUGGACAAUAUAAACGCUGGGUCUUUCCUUUCAUGAAGAUAAUGUGGCCCCGCUUAAGUUUGUGACCCCUCAAGGAGGCAGCGGACAGUGGCUUGGAGGAUGGGUAGGUAUCGCUAUGGUAGGUUGGAUGUGUAGGUAUCGCUAUGGUAGGUUGGAUGUGAAGGUAUCGCUAUGGUAGGUAGGAUGGGAAGGUAUCGCUAUGGUAGGUUCGAUGGGAAGGUAUCGCUAUGGUAGGUAUGAUGGGAAGGUGUCGCUAUGGGAGGUUGGAUGGGAAGGUAUCGCUAUGGUAGGUUGGAUGGGAAGGUAUCGCUAUGGUCGGUAGAAUGGGAAGGUGUCGCAAUGGUAGGUUGGAUGGGAAGGUAUCGCUAUGGUAGGUACCGCUAUGCUCAACAGUGGAGCUGCGCUGUGCAAUCGAUGACCACCGCCGAUAAAUCGGUUCCAUUGCUCGACGAAUUGGACACAGUGAACAUAGUUCGCGAAAGAAAGGGAUCCGGUUCCGUUCCCGCUGGACGGAGGGCGAUGGACCUCAGGCUAAAGGGGACCUCGUCAUUGACCUCGUCGUGCUGGGGGCCUGCAAUUUUGAAAGAGGCGCGGAGCAAAAUUUUCGGACGCAAAAAAAAAAGUCGAUCGUAACUUUUCCAACGACUAAAAUAAAUCUCAGCCGUAAUUCGCGGGAUGAAAGGUACUGGUUUAACACGCGUGCGUGGGAGCUGCGCGCGUGUGAGACCAACAGCGCAAGCCGUGAUCAUCACUCCCCACGUCCCUUGCGUGCGGCUGCCACUUUGAAAGGUCUGUGACGCGCGUGGACGUGAAGUUUUUUUUUCUUUCUACUUACAGCGACAACAACAAAAAAAACAAACUCAGAAGCAGCUGCAUCCAGUCUGCAGGCCCCGGGCCCGCCAUAGCAUCGUGAUAGCAUCGUGAUAGCACCGCGACACACCCCAACACGCCCGGGGGUACGCAAAGCCUCGACCCCCCCCCCCCCUCCCCGGUAGCAAUGAAGCGACUGCGAUAGGAUAGCCAACUCGCCCUCACCUUUAUAGUUACACUGAAUAAAGGUAAUUUUGAUGUAUUAUUGUACACGCUUGAUGUGGCUUAUUCCAGACUACACCUGAUCGUUGAGCAGGUGAUAGAUUUUAUUCCUUUAUUAUAUUGCUUAUGUUGUCAUGAAGUCGCUUAUUGCUGGCGUGGUGAACGUGUGAAAUUGUGUGCGUGCAUAUUGCUUGAACAGCCACCUAUUGUAUGCAAGCUGUGGGCAAUCUUGUAUUCUGCAAAAACAACUAAUAAAACUAUUCACAAACCUAA